rnacentral:rRNA from 1 species
AGUGAACGCUGGCGGUAGGCCUAACACAUGCAAGUCGAACGGCAGCACAGUAAGAGCUUGCUCUUACGGGUGGCGAGUGGCGGACGGGUGAGGAAUACAUCGGAAUCUACUUUUUCGUGGGGGAUAACGUAGGGAAACUUACGCUAAUACCGCAUACGACCUACGGGUGAAAGCAGGGGAUCUUCGGACCUUGCGCGAUUGAAUGAGCCGAUGUCGGAUUAGCUAGUUGGCGGGGUAAAGGCCCACCAAGGCGACGAUCCGUAGCUGGUCUGAGAGGAUGAUCAGCCACACUGGAACUGAGACACGGUCCAGACUACUACGGGAGGCAGCAGUGGGGAAUAGUGGACAAUGGGCGCAAGCCUGAUCCAGCCAGACCGCGUGGGUGAAGAAGGCCUUCGGGUUGUAAAGCCCUUUUGUUGGGAAAGAAAAGCAGCAGGUUAAUACCCCGCUGUUCUGACGGUACCCAAAGAAUAAGCACCGGCUAACUUCGUG